rnacentral:rRNA from 1 species
CCUACGGGAGGCAGCAGUGGGGAAUUUUGGACAAUGGGCGCAAGCCUGAUCCAGCAAUGCCGCGUGAGUGAAGAAGGCCUUCGGGUUGUAAAGCUCUUUUGUCAGGGAAGAAACGGUCUACUCUAAUACAGUGGGCUAAUGACGGUACCUGAAGAAUAAGCACCGGCUAACUACGUGCCAGCAGCCGCGGUAAUACGUAGGGUGCAAGCGUUAAUCGGAAUUACUGGGCGUAAAGCGUGCGCAGGCGGUUAUAUAAGUCAGAUGUGAAAUCCCCGGGCUCAACCUGGGAACUGCAUUUGAGACUGUAUGGCUAGAGUGUGUCAGAGGGGGGUAGAAUUCCACGUGUAGCAGUGAAAUGCGUAGAUAUGUGGAGGAAUACCGAUGGCGAAGGCAGCCCCCUGGGAUAACACUGACGCUCAUGCACGAAAGCGUGGGGAGCAAACAGGAUUAGAUACCCUGGUAGUCCACGCCCUAAACGAUGUCUACUAGUUGUCGGGACUUAAUUGUCUUGGUAACGCAGCUAACGCGUGAAGUAGACCGCCUGGGGGNGGUACGGUCGCGAAGAAGUUAAAACGUUAAAAGUUAAGUAAGUUAGUACGGACGUGAGACGUAGACCGAACGGACGACCGACGAGGGGAGGUUAGGGAG